CUACGGGGUGCUGCAGUGGGGAAUAUUGGACAAUGGGCGCAAGCCUGAUCCAGCAAUGCCGCGUGUGUGAAGAAGGCCUGCGGGUUGUAAAGCACUUUAAGCAGGAAAGAAGGUUUCAAGGCUAAUACCCUUGGAAAUUGACGUUACCUGCAGAAUAAGCACCGGCUAACUCCGUGCCAGCAGCCGCGGUAAUACGGAGGGUGCGAGCGUUAAUCGGAAUUACUGGGCGUAAAGCGCGCGUAGGCGGUCGGCUAAGUCUGCUGUGAAAGCCCUGGGCUUAACCUGGGAACUGCAGUGGAUACUGGUCGGCUAGAGUAUGGUAGAGGAGAGUGGAAUUUCCGGUGUAGCAGUGAAAUGCGUAGAGAUCGGAAGGAACACCAGUGGCGAAGGCGGCUCUCUGGACCAAUACUGACGCUGAGGUGCGAAAGCGUGGGGAGCAAACAGGAUUCGAUACCCCCGUAGUC
rnacentral:rRNA from 1 species